AUCUGCGGGGCAAAGCAUCCUGAGAGCCUAACUUCCACAAAACUGCGCAAACAAACAGGAACACUCUCUCAGGUUCUCAAUCUAAGUAACACAGACCUUGAUCAGUUAGCAGAUUUUCUUGGUCAUGAUGUAAGGGUGCAUCGGCAGUUUUAUAGACUUCCUGAGGGCACACUCCAGCUUGCUAAAAUGAGUAAAAUCCUGAUGGCCCUUGACAAGGGACGAUUGGCAGAGUUCCAGGGCAAGAGUCUGGACGAAAUCAACAUUGAUCCUGAAGAGAAUGUUCACCUGGAUAGUGAUGUGGAACCAGAGUGUGAGUCCGGAACACAAGAGAAUGACACCACAACUAGAGAGACAGCAAAUGAGGAAAGAAUGCCAGAUGUGAACCAAAGGGGUGAAGAGUGCACUUAAACACAGCAAGGCAUAAUGACUCAUCAAGCCUCCACAUGCAAGUCACAA